CCUCAGGUCUGCUGAAGCAGGGUUCCUAGCGCUCCGUAGACACCAGGAGCACCAGAGAUCAGGUGGCAGCAAAUGGCUUGAUCACGGCAGACGACCAUCUUUCCACAAACACGAGAAGCUUCCUCAAUUUCUCAAUGCUACUAUGCUCCUUUUUUCUGUUUUUAUCAUCAAUCCAAUCACUAUAGAAUGUCAUGAAUGGUAGUAUUAUAGUGUGGUAAAUGUGUGAUUUCCCCUUUCUAUUUUUAUGACUUUACCAAUGAUGCAAAAUAAUAAAACACAUGUUUGUAAAGCUUUCCUCAGCUUUUUAUGCAUCAUUAUUUCCAUUUUCUCUGCCGUUAAAAGCGUGCCAGCAGCGGACAGCCCUGUAUUUUGCGGCACUCCGGCUUCUGCUGAUUCUGCAGACACUUCAGUUACACGUGCAGUACCAACUACUAGCAGUGAUCGUGUGAAUGAUUUAUGGGCUGCACUGUGCAGCAUUUGAAGAUAGCUGUCUAUGAAAACCAAAUAAAUAUUUGUCAUAUCUUUUUUUUUUUUUUUCAAUGCUAUUGGCAAAUGUUCAACUCCAAUGAUUGUGGCACACCCUGCGUAAGUAAAUGCUGCAUAUGCAGACUGUAUCUUAUCCCUGGUGUUGCAGGACCGGGCUGACUGCACUGCAGAAAAGAGCACAUGGAAUAGAAAUGGGUGCAUAUUGAGAAUACAAGCGUUUCAAUAAAUCAUUAUGAACUAAAAACUGACUGCAGUCUUUUUCCAAAUCCACAAUAUGAUUAUAGCAUCAUAGUUUAUACUAUAAAUUCUUCAAUAUCAAAAAUAACAUCUUUUUUCACACAUUUCGCCGUUAAUACCCCCAUACACUUUCAUGCUCCUCAGAAGCAUGUGUGAUAGCUUAAAUGUACCCCAUGGUAGCAUUACAUUAGCUGUUUACUCUUAUUUAAUCUAAUUUUGGGCUUCUGUGCUGACCCAGUAGCCCCAGUGGGAGUAACCCACCUCUGAAUGCAGUGUUGCGCUGCAGCCACCAGAGGGUCUCUGCUGAUUUUUCAGAGUGCUUCUCAACGGUUCUGCAUGCUGUCCUGUCUUGCUAUCUUCUUUCAUAUUCAACCUGAACCUGCAACCUGCAAAGACUCUUGACGUAGAUCCUCUACAUCUCCACAGUGCAGCCAUGGCCACCACAGAGACUAUGUUUCCAGACCAAAGUGACUUUGAUUAUGGUCCAGCUCAUCUGUUACCGAAAUCCCAAAGACAGAGGUGCCUCCUCAAACUGUAUAGAAAGUUAUUUAUCUAAUUGAAGGGGAGAACUUAGUCACAGGAACUGUGCCAGAGAAUGCCCAUCAUGAUCACUGGUUAUUUAUUGCCAUUCCUGUUUGGCUAGUACACCUCUGCCAGCAAGAUGAUGAACAGGGUUUUUUCAACGCAUCCUUACCUGGUUUUGUUGAGUUUACCUUGAAAUUCUGUCAAAACUCUUACAAUAAGUUAUCAAAAGUUGUCAAUAUAAAGGCAAAAUAAAAUAUUACUACCCAUUAGGUGACACAAAAAGGUACUUUUCAUCAAACAAAAUGACACAAUUGCUGUUUCUCUUCUUUACAUCAAAAUCCUGUAAAAUGGAUAAGUAGAGAGCAUGAUUGAAUACUCAUAAACCUCAAGAUCUAGAAAAAGGAACUGCACGCAUGAUCAAUGUUAACAAAUGUCCUUUUCGAUUAUGUUUCUUCCCUUCUGUCAAUAUCUACUUUUUCUAGCAUGAUUAAGACACCAAUAGAUAGAAUAUGCAUGGUAUAACAUGCUAAAAGGAAAUAGAUUGCAUAAUGUCUUGAUGGAAAUUAAAAGAUGAUGAGCAGUUGAAUAAUUGUUUAAUCAAUGUUUAUUCUGCUUGAAUGUAAAGGCAAAGGCAAUACAAAUAAAUAAAAAAAAUGGGACCCUUGUUUCAAAUAAAGGUCUUCUUUCACUCAA